GCUGAUGGAGCACACCGCGUGAGUGAAGAAGGGUUUCGGCUCGUAAAGCUCUGUUGUUAAAGAAGAACACGUAUGAGAGUAACUGUUCAUACGUUGACGGUAUUUAACCAGAAAGUCACGGCUAACUACGUGCCAGCAGCCGCGGUAAUACGUAGGUGGCAAGCGUUAUCCGGAUUUAUUGGGCGUAAAGAGAGUGCAGGCGGUUUUCUAAGUCUGAUGUGAAAGCCUUCGGCUUAACCGGAGAAGUGCAUCGGAAACUGGAUAACUUGAGUGCAGAAGAGGGUAGUGGAACUCCAUGUGUAGCGGUGGAAUGCGUAGAUAUAUGGAAGAACACCAGUGGCGAAGGCGGCUACCUGGUCUGCAACUGACGCUGAGACUCGAAAGCAUGGGUAGCGAACAGGAUUAGAUACCCUGGUAGUCCAUGCCGUAAACGAUGAGUGCUAGGUGUUGGAGGGUUUCCGCCCUUCAGUGCCGGAGCUAACGCAUUAAGCACUCCGCCUGGGGAGUACGACCGCAAGGUUGAAACUCAAAGGAAUUGACGGGGGCCCGCACAAGCGGUGGAGCAUGUGGUUUAAUUCGAAGCUACGCGAAGAACCUUACCAGGUCUUGACAUCUUGCGCCAACCCUAGAGAUAGGGCGUUUCCUUCGGGAACGCAAUGACAGGUGGUGCAUGGUCGUCGUCAGCUCGUGUCGUGAGAUGUUGGGUUAAGUCCCGCAACGAGCGCAACCCUUGUUACUAGUUGCCAGCAUUAAGUUGGGCACUCUAGUGAGACUGCCGGUGACAAACCGGAGGAAGGUGGGGACGACGUCAGAUCAUCAUGCCCCUUAUGACCUGGGCUACACACGUGCUACAAUGGACGGUACAACGAGUCGCGAACUCGCGAGGGCAAGCAAAUCUCUUAAAACCGUUCUCAGUUCGGACUGCAG
rnacentral:rRNA from 2 species